rnacentral:lncRNA from 1 species
GCCAUGCUUUUAAAUAGGCCUUAUAACUAGUCCUAAUCUAAUUAGAAAACUAAAAUAAAAAAAACUCCUAAUUAUUUUAAUAUGGAAAUUCAGCCAAGGGUCUUUAUUUGGGACUCUGGGACUGAAUAUUUACAUAAAAAUUAAACUAAGUAAAAAUAAAUAAAUAAAUAAAUAAAAAUAAAACUUUACAACUUGGGCCACUUUGACAAUUUGGCCUGAUUUUCAACUAAGUAUGGGUGGAUUUCUUGAUUGGGC